rnacentral:lncRNA from 1 species
GGAAGAACUCACUGAUUCCGCGAGGGAGAUGGGGUAAUGGAUGAUGGUCUUCAGCCUUAAGGGUACUUAGUCUUAACUGUGUGUUACAAAGUUUGAAAGGGAGGGUUCCCUAUGAAUAAGAAGCGCACUUGAAAGAACAGCCCUCUGGUCUAACCUCUCACUGGUGCUUCAGAGGAGGAUAAAAGGUCACAGCUAUGUUUCCAGUGUCCUCUGGGUGUUUCCAAGAGCAACAAGAAAUGAAUAAAUCUCUGUUGAAGAGAUACCAUUUGACAUUUUAGAGAUGGCUGCAUGCAAACUCUUAAAACAUUUGA